rnacentral:rRNA from 1 species
CGACCGGCGCACGGGUGAGUAACGCGUAUGCAACCUGCCCUUCACAGGGGGAUAACCGGGAGAAAUUCCGACUAAUACCGCAUACGUCCUUUGGGGGCAUCCCCGGGGGAUGAAAGAAUUAUCGGUGAAGGAUGGGCAUGCGUGAUAUUAGGUAGUUGGCGGGGCAACGGCCCACCAAGCCCACGAUAUCUAGGGGUUCUGAGAGGAAGGUCCCCCACAUUGGUACUGAGACACGGACCAAACUCCUACGGGAGGCAGCAGUGAGGAAUAUUGGUCAAUGGACGAGAGUCUGAACCAGCCAAGUCGCGUGAAGGAAGACGGAUCUAUGGUUUGUAAACUUCUUUAGUGCGGGAACAAAGCGGCGUCGUGACGCCUGAUGAGUGUACCGCAAGAAUAAGCAUCGGCUAACUCCGUGCCAGCAGCCGCGGUAAUACGGAGGAUGCGAGCGUUAUCCGGAUUUAUUGGGUUUAAAGGGAGCGCAGGCUGCGAGGCAAGUCAGCGGUCAAAUGUCGGGGCUCAACCCCGGCCUGCCGUUGAAACUGUCCUGCUAGAGUUCGAGUGAGGUAUGCGGAAUGCGUUGUGUAGCGGUGAAAUGCAUAGAUAUGACGCAGAACUCCGAUUGCGAAGGCAGCAUACCAACUCGCGACUGACGCUGAGGCUCGAAAGCGUGGGUAUCGAACAGGAUUAGAUACCCUGGUAGUCCACGCAGUAAACGAUGAAUACUAACUGUUCGGAGGGCGACCUCUGAGUGGUAAAGCGAAAGCGUUAAGUAUUCCACCUGGGGAGUACGCCGGCAACGGUGAAACUCAAAGGAAUUGACGGGGGCCCGCACAAGCGGAGGAACAUGUGGUUUAAUUCGAUGAUACGCGAGGAACCUUACCCGGGCUCAAACGUCGGGCGAAUCAUCCUGAAAGGGGUGAGCCAGCAAUGGCGGCC